GCCCCUGUGGUUCAGUGGUUAGAGGGUUGGCCUGCACACCAAAGGUUCCUGGGUUUGAUUCCCCAGCAUGGGCA
rfam:Myotis lucifugus cont2.45198, whole genome shotgun sequence.